rnacentral:lncRNA from 1 species
AUGGGUGGGCGCUGGAGUCCAGCUGGAGGAUGGCAGGCAGGCAAGACGUCCCAGCACCACCCACCCCGUCUGUCCGGACACCAGGGUCUCAGCCUGCAGGGCAUUCAGAAGCCAGAGGGACUGUGGCUGCACCGGGAGAGCCCGGGACACACGCUGCAGGGGCCUUGCUGCGGGCCUGCUGCCUCCAACCUCCCGGAGCAUCAGGGCCCUGUCCACCAGACUUGGGCUGCACGUGGUGACGGGAGUAACGAGGCCCCAGGAGACGCCAGUACUUUGAGAGGGUAACAGGCAGGAAGGCCGGGGGUCUCCAAAGGGAGAAGUAGGCUGCAGGUGUCAGACAUUUUUCUCUCUGUCUUAAGCAGCAGGAGGGAAGAAACUACAAGCGUCAGAUGUUUUUCCUUCUCUACACAAAAUUAAAAGGAGCUUUCUUUUAAAAUGUGUGUUGCCAUGACGACACCGGGUUCCACCUGAACUUAACUUUUCUCAAACCUUGAGCUAACCAAUGCUUUUUCCUUUUGGAAAUGUUUUUCCUAAGCUAUGUUAAUGAACAUGUAUUUACCCUAGACUCUGUCUUCAAGUCGGUUCUGAUUAGUCAGAACCGAUAAUGGCUCAACAAACGAGUAUGUUUUACUCAUACAGUUGCUCUCCUAAUCUAUGUUAAUGAGACGAUGUAUUUGCCUGGAAACCUGCUUUUCUUCGAGGUUCAUGUCAGUCGUUUUAUGGCGGGGAUGACUCACCUUGUGCCAAUGUUAUCUUAAAAUGCAUGUUGUGGGUGAGGGGCCUGGUGCCACUCUGAGUUUGGAGUCUUUUCCUUUCUCUAAUUAGCAGCCUGCUAGUAGGUAUAUAACUUUCUCUUAAAGGCUAGCAGGGGGGGGCAACUCUUUCUACUCCCUUCUGAUGUCUACGUCAGAAGCUUUCUCUCUCUCUUUUAUCCUUUAAUAAAACUCUACUACACAAAAGCUCUGAGCAAUCAAGCCUCAUCACUGGCCCCAUAUUGAAUUCCUCUCCCACGGAGGCCAAGAAUCCCAGCGUCUUUCACGGCUCAGCAACAGCCUUUCAAUGUCCUGUUCUUCACCUUCCACGGGAUCGCUUCUCCUUCCCUACACCUGUGCAGGUGUACUUUGAGGAUCUCAUUUUUAAAUGAGGAAAAGGAGUCUUGGUUAAGUCUGGCAUUAACUAUCACUCCCGCCCCCGCCAGAGGCUUCCAGGCUGUGCCCCAGAGACGGGCCGUGUCUGUUCCAGAGUCAGGGAGGCACCAGGUGCUGGGGUCUGGGAACAGCCUGGACCCCCGUAGCGUCCCCUGCAGUCAGUGCUGAGGCCCCUGCUGAUCUGGGUCCCCCCCCCACAGCAUGCUCCCUGGAGCCCUGGUGGUCACAGGCCUCACCUGACCUGGGGCAGCAGGCGGCAGAGUGGCAGGGGCCGCG